UCAUAAGAAUCAUUUCAGUGGCAUCAUUGGUUCCCUGAAGAAAUAUUUCAGAUUAGAUUGCUUCCGGGCCACCUUUCUUAAGCAGCUAUUCUAUUAUUUAUCCAUUUGCUCCUUUGAUUUAGAAGCAAACUUCAUCCUUAUGGUACCAAAAUAAUCUUAUUCAAGUAGUUUAGAAGUUACUUUUUUCCCUUUAAAAGUGUUAAUUUGCAAUUUAAUCUACAAUAGAAGGUUAUAAUUUUCCUUAUUUUUUCAAGUUACUACUCUAUUUAUUACGAGUAAUCUUUAAUUACCAUUUAACGUGAAUUGAUUCUGUAAAAAAAUUAUUAAUGUCUAGAAGAUAAACCUUAAAAUUGUGUACGGGUAAAAUCGGGUAUAACUAUAAAACUAAGUACGGGUAAAAUCGAGGAUAAAGUUACCCCUAUUUCCCCAUGAAAAAACGAGAGACAACAUGGUUCGACACUGGCAUGGGUAAAGUCGAGGUUCUCACAUAUAAGAGCCCAGGGGAGACAAUUAGAGAGGACGAGCAAGGGGUUGAAAUAUUCACCACCAAUCAGAUAUUACCGCGCCCCGAUAUCAAUUGCGGAUCAUAUUUUACUAGAAGAAAAGAAUUUUUUACAUUAUUUAAAUUUAUACUAGGAUUGAAACUCCCCUACUAUAUACAUGGGAGAUUCUUUUCAUUUUAAG
rnacentral:lncRNA from 1 species